UACAGAGGGGGCAAGCGUUAAUCGGAAUUACUGGGCGUAAAGCGUGCGCAGGCGGUUAUGCAAGACAGAUGUGAAAUCCCCGGGCUCAACCUGGGAACUGCAUUUGUGACUGCAUGGCUAGAGUACGGUAGAGGGGGAUGGAAUUCCGCGUGUAGCAGUGAAAUGCGUAGAUAUGCGGAGGAACACCGAUGGCGAAGGCAAUCCCCUGGACCUGUACUGACGCUCAUGCACGAAAGCGUGGGGAGCAAACAGG
rnacentral:rRNA from 1 species